UGACUAGCAGACCUAAACUUGAUUUUGAC
rnacentral:piRNA from 1 species